AGUGGCGGACGGGUGAGUAACGCGUAGGAACUUGCCUUCAAGAGGGGGACAACAGCUGGAAACGGCUGCUAAUACCGCAUAAUACCUGAGGGUUAAAGCUGGCGAAAGCUGGCGCUUGAAGAGAGGCCUGCGUUGGAUUAGCUAGUAGGUUGGGUAAAGGCUGACCUAGGCGACGAUCCAUAGCUGUUCUGAGAGGAAGAUCAGCCACACUGGAACUGAGAGACGGUCCAGACUCCUACGGGAGGCAGCAGUGGGGAAUAUUGGACAAUGGGGGAAACCCUGAUCCAGCAAUGCCAUGUGUGUGAAGAAGGCCUUCGGGUUGUAAAGCACUUUAGUCAGUGAGGAAGUUCAUUAGGUUAAGAGCUAGAUGAAUUGACGUUAGCUGAAGAAUAAGCACCGGCUAACUCUGUGCCAGCAGCCGCGGUAAUACAGAGGGUGCAAGCGUUAAUCGGAAUUACUGGGCGUAAAGCGCGCGUAGGUGGUUGUAUAAGUCAGAUGUGAAAUCCCUGGGCUCAACCUAGGAAUUGCAUUUGAUACUGUAUGACUAGAGUAUGGUAGAGGGUAGAGGAAUUUCCGGUGUAGCGGUGAAAUGCGUAGAUAUCGGAAGGAACAUCAGUGGCGAAGGCGUCUACCUGGGUUUUUACUGACACUGAGGCGCGAAAGCGUGGGUAGCGAACAGGAUUAGAUACCCUGGUAGUCCACGCUGUAAACGAUGAAUACUAG
rnacentral:rRNA from 1 species